UACGGGGGGGGCAAGCGUUGUUCGGAAUUACUGGGCGUAAAGGGCUCGUAGGCGGCCAACUAAGUCGGACGUGAAAUCCCCAGGCUCAACCUGGGAACUGCGUCCGAUACUGGAUGGCUUGAAUCCGGGAGAGGGAUGCAGAAUUCCAGGUGUAGCGGUGAAAUGCGUAGAGAUGUGGAGGAACACCGAUGGCGAAGGCAGCCCCCCUGGGUCAAGAUUGACGCUCAUGCACGAAAGCGUGGGGAGCAAACAGG
rnacentral:rRNA from 1 species